rnacentral:sRNA from 1 species
UCUGAUAACAGAUACAUAUGACGGGUAUAUAUAUUAUCUAAGAUCAAGUUCUAGUUAAUUACUCUAGAACUAGCAUUAAGAUCAACUAAAGAUGAAGAAUCCUAUAGAUAACCUAGCAAAGCGGUAAUCUACUAAAUCAUUUGAUUCUCUAGUGAGAAACCCUAACCCUAACAAGCAGACUACUCAGACAUGGAGAUUGAAACAAACAACAUGAUUGACUAAGAAAGCAUAAA